rnacentral:rRNA from 1 species
AGAGUUUGAUUCUGGCUCAGGAUGAACGCUGGCGGCGUGCCUAACACAUGCAAGUCGAGCGGAGAUAGGUUGAAGCCUAGCGAUUCUUAUCUUAGCGGCGGAUGGGUGAGUAACACGUGGGUAACCUGCCCUGUACUGGGGGAUAACAGCUGGAAACGACUGUUAAUACCGCAUAUGCGCACGGAGCCGCAUGGCCCUGGGCGGAAAGAUUCAUCGGUACAGGAUGGGCCCGCGCCGGAUUAACUUGUUGGCGGGGUAACGGCCCACCAAGGUGAUGAUCCGUAGCCGACCUGAGAGGGUGACCGGCCACAUUGGGACUGAGACACGGCCCAAACUCCUACGGGAGGCAGCAGUGGGGGAUAUUGCACAAUGGGGGAAACCCUGAAUGCAGCGACGCCGCGUGAAGGAAGAAGUAUUUCGGUAUGUAAACUUCUAUCAGCGGGGAAGAAGAUGACGGUACCCGCACAAGAAGCCCCGGCUAACUACGUGCCAGCCGCCGC